UACGGAGGGUGCAAGCGUUAUCCGGAUUUACUGGGUUUAAAGGGUGCGUAGGUGGAUAAUUAAGUCAGUGGUGAAAUCUUCAGGCUUAACCUGGAAACUGCCAUUGAUACUAUUUAUCUUGAAUACUUUGGAGGUAAGCGGAAUAUGUCAUGUAGCGGUGAAAUGCUUAGAUAUGACAUAGAACACCAAUUGCGAAGGCAGCUUAACUACACAGUAAUUGACACUGAGGCACGAAAGCGUGGGGAUCAAA
rnacentral:rRNA from 1 species